rnacentral:rRNA from 1 species
UAAGGAAUAUUGGUCAAUGGACGCAAGUCUGAACCAGCCAUGCCGCGUGAAGGAAGACGGCCCUACGGGUUGUAAACUUCUUUUGUACGGGAAAAAACCACCGGUCGUGAAUCGGUGCUGAUGGUACCGUAAGAAUAAGCAUCGGCUAACUCCGUGCCAGCAGCCGCGGUAAUACGGAGGAUGCAAGCGUUAUCCGGAUUCAUUGGGUUUAAAGGGUGCGCAGGCGGAAUGAUAAGUCAGUGGUGAAAUCCUACGGCUCAACUGUAGAACUGCCAUUGAUACUGUUGUUCUUGAGUACACUUGGAGUGGGCGGAAUGUGUCAUGUAGCGGUGAAAUGCUUAGAUAUGACACAGAACACCGAUCGCGAAGGCAGCUCACUAAGUUGUAACUGACGCUCAG